rnacentral:tRNA from 1 species
AAAUAAUUUAAACUAAGCUUCUAACUUAAGUUUUAAGCGAUAAUCCGUUUUUAUUUCUA